UUUCUUCUUAUAAACCUUUAUUAACCUUUAUAAAAAAAUAAAAAAAUAAAAAAAAAUUAAUGGUCACAUAUAUGGAAAAUGGUGGCUGGCAAUGUGCUAUUUUAGAGUGGUGUGAACCCAAUUUUAUAAAAUUCAAAUCCCAUUUAAUUAAGAAGUCAAGUGGGCAAGUAGGUAGAAAAGCACUCAAGUAUUUUGUGAAAUUUUGAAGAGUUGUGUGAGCCAUUCUAACCCCCAAAUCCGACCACUCUCCCUCCCUCAUUCACUCUCAUCUGAUUUUUGAAGACUCUCUCAAGUGUUCUCUCCAUUUUGAACCCCAAGAACACCAAAGAAACUUGGAAGCUAAGUCUUGGUCUAGGAAGGGUUUUCCCUAAGUUGGUUAGGGUUUUUGAAAGGUUUUGAAGGAGUCAAAGCUUAUAGGAAGGUCCAAACCUUAAGCAAGAACACCAAAGAGUAUUGGCUAAGCGUAACUGGACUGAACGUUGGAGGGUGAAAACUUGCUGAGCGCUAAGGACUCCAAGUAAGAGCAAGGGCAAGGCAGAGCAGUGAGCGCUGGAGUCUUCCUUGCAAAUGUACAUGUGGACCGACCUUUUGGGAAGCCUUUUUAUUUUUGGAAAUGUUGUGUAAUUUUCCUAAACUAGGCUCACUCUAAUCUUUGUAAAACAUGUUUGUAACUAAAUGUUAAGUAUGGCCAUACGACUUUUUAAAAAGUUUUUUUUUCUAUGGGUUUUUGAGACAUUUUGUUAAAUGAAAACAUUUAUAUUUCCGCAUUAUCGAGUCUUGAAAAUCCGGGUCGUUACACCAGUGGGACCAGAAAAGACCCGAGUAGUCUGUGAGUUUCUGGACGUGUUUCCAGAGGAUCUGCCAGGGUUACCUCCACACAGGGAGAUUGAGUUUGCAAUUCAAUUGGCGCUAGGGACAGAGCCAGUGUCUAGGGAACCUUAUAGGAUGGUGUCGGGUGAGCUGAAGGAACUGAAGUUUCAACUACAAGAAUUACUGGACUUAGGUUAUAUCAGGCCUAGUUUCUUGCCAUGGGGCGCACUGGUCCUCUUUGUGAAGAAAGAUGAUGGUUCUCUGUGGGUGUGUA